rnacentral:lncRNA from 1 species
AUGCUCUCACGUGAGCACCAGCACCGUGCCUUCCUUCCAGCAAACCCCACUCCUCCACCACCUGCACUGGCGGCUCUGGACCCACUGGUCUCGCCGGACAGCAGGAGUCACGGCACCAGACCACCACCUCCCAAUCAAAAGGGAAGCCCCCAGCUCUGGAUCAACGCCCACUGGAACUGGACCGCCCACCUACUUCAGGAAGGAAGGGACACAGCCCGCCCUGCACAGCCCAGUUGCCUCCAGAGACAGCAGCUUCCUCCCUGGAAACUUCGCGGGGCAGGCAGCAUGUCCUCCAGGCCACGGCUCCAGGUACAUCUGGGUGCCCUGAGACCAGGGGCCCCGCCGACCCGACCUGCCCUGCGAUGCACCUGCCACCGCUGCUGCGCUGCGUGUGAAACCCAGCCGGUAAAGGCGCCUAAGCCUGCCGCCGCUCGCAUCCCAGAAGCCGCGGGGUGCGGGUCGCGCGGAUCAGCAGAGAAGGGGCAGCAGCCCGCACCCCAGGAAGCCGCGGGGUGCGGGUCGCAUGGAGCGGCAGGGAAGCGGCAGCAGCCGGGGUCUCCAAAGGCUCCGGAGCCCAGGACUAGGAGCGCCGCCGCCGGCUUACCUCCGAGGUGCGGAGUCCCUGUUCCCGACGCGGAGGCGCUUCGUCCCCAGGACGCUCCGGAGGGUUUAAGAGCAGGGGUGGGGGCGGGGGGGCGACAGGGGAGUAGGGGUUGGCGGGAGAGCAGAGGUGAGGGCAGCCCGCUGGAGGGAGCAGAAGGGCCCGGAGGGAUCAGCCUCUGCCGCCUGCGGGAAAGGAACGAUCGCCUGGCGACCAGCAUGGACCAGGGGAAGAUAGUGGAGCUAUGCGCCCUGGGGGCUGUGGGGCGGGGCGCGAGGCGGGCCGCGGGGGCGGGGCAGGGGGCAGCCAGGGCUGGGUCCUGCGGGAAGACAAGGGAGGGGAUGACCACAAGCGAGAAAUUUGGGUCAGGGUAUCCGUGGCCCAGUCCCGUUGCCUCCAACACGUGGCGGAUCCCUCUUGCUCCUGACCCCGGAGACCCCACAGAGAGACCUCGCCAGGGGGCCUGACCUGAAUGGUACAACUGCCUCUGAGGAGGACAAGGAAGGGGCGCCCCGAGGGCCUGAGGAAAGCCCAUGUUCCAGGAGCAGGUGAGGAGCAGCAUGCUUCCAGGGUCCUAAAGCCAAACCAGCUCCCCCGGGUCCUCUCCCAUUCCCUGAUCUGUGCAUCUUUUCCUGUGCAAAGCAGAGAAGCUCCCAGAGCCCUGGGCCACUUCUGAGGGGCUGUGGUAGGGCCAGGCAUGCAGCUGUCCCCGCUCCUGUGGGCUGGGGGUGGGGGAGAAGCGCAAGGGCAUUCCGGGAGCCAAGACCAGCCUCCUCCUACAGGGCUCCGUGCAGCUGCUCAGCUCUUAGGGGGCUUUGCUCCCUGCACUCACUGCCUGCCCCGGACCCCACACCCAAGUUCUCCUUGUGUUCCCCUUGGCAGAGUCUGACAGAGGGGUAAAGGUCAGGGCUGGGCAGUCUUGACCAGCAGGGAGGCCCUGAACGUCCCACCUAGCCUGAGAUGUCUGGGUGAGUCUGGCUUUCCCCCAAGGCCGGACUUGAGCCCCCAAGUUAACUUUUUAAAACGCUCCCCCUGAGGUGUAGGGGAAAGACGGGCUCCACAUGCGUCCUCAGAGGUGGGCAGGGGUCCAGAGCCUCCACGGGCUGGCUCUCCCAUGUGAACGCCGGCCUUGCUGUGCUGCAGUCUGCUGGGCGUGUGUGUUCGUUCUGGCGCACGUGCUAGGCCCUGCACACACGAGGUCCCCACCCCGGGCAGGGCUGGAAGACAGCUCCUCCAAGAAGCACAAGGUGAGCUGGUGGGGGAGGGACACGCCCACUUUAGGAGACUAUUCAUGGAAUCUGCCAGAGGCCACGGACCUAAAAUACAGUCCUCACCCCUCCUGUCACUUCUGCAACACAGUCACGGACGGCACAGGCGCCAGGCACAAUCACAUGCACACACAGACUUGGUACAGGCACCAGGUACAAUCACACAUGGACACGGCACAGGCCCAAUCUCACACAGACG